GAGUUUGAUCCUGGCUCAGAUUGAACGCUGGCGGCAUGCUUUACACAUGCAAGUCGAACGGCAGCACAGGGAGCUUGCUCCUGGGUGGCGAGUGGCGAACGGGUGAGUAAUGUAUCGGAACGUGCCUGGUAGUGGGGGAUAACUACUCGAAAGAGUGGCUAAUACCGCAUGAGAUCUUUGGAUGAAAGCGGGGGACCUUCGGGCCUCGCGCUACUGGAGCGGCCGAUAUCAGAUUAGGUUGUUGGUGGGGUAAAGGCCUACCAAGCCUGCGAUCUGUAGCUGGUCUGAGAGGACGACCAGCCACACUGGGACUGAGACACGGCCCAGACUCCUACGGGAGGCAGCAGUGGGGAAUUUUGGACAAUGGGCGCAAGCCUGAUCCAGCAAUGCCGCGUGCAGGAUGAAGGUCUUCGGGUUGUAAACUGCUUUUGUACAGAACGAAAAGUCUCUGGCUAAUAUU
rnacentral:rRNA from 1 species